rnacentral:rRNA from 1 species
GAUGAACGCUGGCGGCGUGCCUAAUACAUGCAAGUCGAGCGAACGGACGAGAAGCUUGCUUCUCUGAUGUUAGCGGCGGACGGGUGAGUAACACGUGGAUAACCUACCUAUAAGACUGGGAUAACUUCGGGAAACCGGAGCUAAUACCGGAUAAUAUUUUGAACCGCAUGGUUCAAAAGUGAAAGACGGUCUUGCUGUCACUUAUAGAUGGAUCCGCGCUGCAUUAGCUAGUUGGUAAGGUAACGGCUUACCAAGGCAACGAUGCAUAGCCGACCUGCGAGGGUGAUCGGCCACACUGGAACUGAGACCCGGUCCAGACUCCUACGGGAGGCAGCAGUAGGGAAUCUUCCGCAAUGGGCGAAAGCCUGACGGAGCAACGCCGCGUGAGUGAUGAAGGUCUUCGGAUCGUAAAACUCUGUUAUUAGGGAAGAACAUAUGUGUAAGUAACUGUGCACAUCUUGACGGUACCUAAUCAGAAAGCCACGGCUAACUACGUG